rnacentral:rRNA from 1 species
GAGUUUGAUCUUGGCUCAGGAUGAACGCUAGCGGCAGGCUUAAUACAUGCAAGUCGAGGGGCAGCAGGACUGUAGCAAUACAGUUGCUGGCGACCGGCAAACGGGUGCGGAACACGUACAGAACCUUCCUUUGAGCGGGGAAUAGCCCGGAGAAAUCCGGAUUAAUACCCCAUAGUAAAUUGAAAAGGCAUCUUUUAAUUUUAAAGAUUUAUCACUCGAAGAUGGCUGUGCGGCUGAUUAGGUAGUUGGCGGGGUAAUGGCCCACCAAGCCUGCGAUCAGUAACUGGUGUGAGAGCACGACCAGUCACACGGGCACUGAGACACGGGCCCGACUCCUACGGGAGGCAGCAGUAAGGAAUAUUGGUCAAUGGACGAAAGUCUGAACCAGCCAUGCCGCGUGGAGGAUGAAGGUCCUCUGGAUUGUAAACUUCUUUUAUCUGGGACGAAAAAAGGUUUUUCUAGACCGACUGACGGUACCAGAUGAAUAAGCACCGGCUAACUCCGU